ACGACUGCGCAUCAACGACAAUCGACGUGGAUGUUUUCAAUGAACUGACUGCAGAAACACUGGCACGUGCCAGAUGCCCGGUGAUUAAGGUGCCCUACGUUCCACAAGUAAGAGAGUAUUGCUCUUUCUUGACAACUGCGACGUCACAUCACGUGGCUUGCCGAGCUCCUUUAAAAGACCGAGCAACAUUGCCUUUCGUCAGUGGGCAGGCCAGCACCAGUACCGGCAACAUGUUCAGCAAUCACUUCUGCUUUGCUCUACAGGAUGCUACUUGCCGAACUAUAUGAAGCCUACGUGUAGCCCCAUGAUUCUAUGCAACGUAUCAGUUCCAGAGAAGCGUGCUCACCGGAGGUGGCGAUAAUGGUGAGGAUCUCGCCCCCACGGACUUCGAAUCACCACAGACUUCGAACGAUAGUCCGUCGAGCAGGAGCAACUUAGUGCGCGGUCCGCCGCACAGCCGCUGACCCAGGCUUGAGCGGUCCAGCUCGAACGUCAGGUCUCGAAGCAGCAUCAGAGCGGCCACAUUUAUCGUCAUGGCGACGUGCCCAUUGGCACCAUUGCCCACAUUUCAGGCAAAGGCGUGGUUACGCACACACAAGAACAGCAAGACUGGAAUCAGCUCUGGCCAGAGGACGCUGACGACGUGUAAUGCCGAUGUGUGCACGACAACUCACGUCACGUUCCACGAGUUGAACUAAUUAUAGGUGUUGGUAGGGCAUAUUCGACAUAGCCUAAGCACAGUUGGAGGGAGGGCGGGUCAUCGAAACCUAGCACUGAUAAGAGGAAGGCUUACUUCGUUAUAGAGUUGGCUAAAGCAGAGGAAAGAUAGGGAGUGGAUGUUGUUGGAAGUGAUGAAAAGCUUAAAGCACGGAAAACCACGUGUUGCGCACGACUGCAAAAUUUAGGUGAAAUGUUCACGGCAGCGUAUGUUACUCGCGUACUGUGUUUUUUACCAAGCUACCAAGGUGGUUCAGGACCCUUUUAACCCUGUAAUACAUAACGCACCAUCUGUAUACUGCUGCGUUUGAGACUUCGAAAUUCAAAUUUGUGCUCGUGAAACACAAGUAGUGAUAUUAUUACGCUGGAGCCAAAUGCUGUUGUGAGCAGCUUAGUAAUAGGAUUGCUAACGGCAGUGCUAAUUAUAUUUACUGAUAAAUUUUGUUGAUUUAAGCACAAAUGUGCCCUCUAUGGCGAGAAAUAGAGGUGAACAAGUUUUGAAAAUUUUCUG
rnacentral:lncRNA from 1 species